rnacentral:rRNA from 1 species
UGGGGAAUCUUGCGCAAUGGGCGAAAGCCUGACGCAGCGAUGCCGCGUGCGGGAAGACGGCCUUCGGGUUGUAAACCGCUUUCAGCAGGGACGAAAUUGACGGUACCUGCAGAAGAAGCUCCGGCCAACUACGUGCCAGCAGCCGCGGUAAGACGUAGGGGGCGAGCGUUGUCCGGAAUUAUUGGGCGUAAAGGGCUCCUAGGCGGUUCAGUAAGUCGACUGUGAAAAUCCAAGGCUCAACCUUGGGACGCCAGUCGAUACUGCUGUGACUCGAGUUCGGUAGAGGAGUGUGGAAUUCCUGGUGUAGCGGUGAAAUGCGCAGAUAUCAGGAGGAACACCAACGGCGAAGGCAGCACUCUGGGCCGAUACUGACGCUGAAGAGCGAAAGCGUGGGGAGCAAACAGG